rnacentral:lncRNA from 1 species
GACGUUAAGAUGCCCACAGUGCCGUAACCAUCCCUGGUUAGGACGAGGCCAUGGCCGGAUGAGGAAGAGGCUGGUACGGCCGCGGCGCGCCGGAGCUGUCACCGGAUCUCCUCCUAUUUUUAGCGGAAUCUGGCGGGUGCGGAGCCGGGACCUGCCAUGUCCGGUGCGCGCGAUAUGAUGGCCUGAAACCGAGCGAUCGGGAGGAGAUUCUGCACCGCGGGACCGGACGGGCUCGGUCAAUUUCCCCGUGUAUAGAGACGGGUCGAGGCGACCCAAGCUCCCAAGAAACAGCCGGGUGCAUCUUUCGGGGAGAGCCUGUUUUCACUCCUCCGGGUCGUCAGUGACUUGAGCCAUUGCUGUCCUGUGUACGGGGACGGAGCCGGUAUGGAAGCAUUGAGAGGGAGGGGGUAAGUUUGUUCAUGGAGGGGGCAAAGUUCAUAUGAAGUGAAAUUUUUUGGCCACAACAACCAUUAUCCUAGUAGAAAACUCAAUUUGUUAGGGGGGUCUAGCCCCCCCUAGAAUCGUCCCUGUCUGUGUACCGUGAAACAGUGAAACGAUGUGAGGUCCGGUAGCUGAGUCGAACAAUUCAUCAUGAAAGAAACGAGAGAUCAAUGAUAGAGCUACAUGAUUAUCUCGGGCAGGCCAGACUAAAGAAAAACACAUAGGACUUGUU